rnacentral:lncRNA from 1 species
GACAACACUUGCCUUGAUGCUUCAGUUCAACAUGUCUCCCUCGCAGACUCCUCUCUGUCAUUAAAAGCGUCUGGAUUUUUCGAGAAGCCGCCACGUUUUUGUUAGCAUCGAGCUAGCGGGCCGUUGUCAGCCAGGACCCAGAAAAGCAGCAUCAUCAUCAAUGGUGUGUCUACAUCCCGGAGCCGUCACAUUUUCCUGUGUCCGCUCAAUGAACCAUCUCCUCAGCUCUCAUCACAGCUGCACAUGUAUGGCGUUUGCGAGGCUUGGAGGGGAGUUUUGCCAAGCCCAGCACCUGCUGCUUAUUGUGGACAAGUGAACAGGAGACACGAGCUCAGCACAGCCACUGCCACUCACACACACAGGUCCUUACUGCCAUCCUGCUCAACCCAUAUGAAGAGAAGCCAACCUUCAGUCUGCGACCUGUCCUGGGGAGAAGGGGGGCCUUCAUCGUCAGCCCUGGAGUUCCCUUUCUGCUCUUCUCCUCUUCUGCCUUUCUUUCCCUCCUCUGCUCUGAUUAGUACAAGGUUUCUCUGGAUGGGCUAACAGAUUAAAAAGAAAGGAAGGACAGAGCCUCUUUUUCUGUCUUCAGUUUUUUUCAGGACUUCUGGUGUCCCCUCUCUGGCCCUCUUCAUCCUGGCCUAAUACAUUUUUACCUCUUUUUUUCUAACAAGCCAAUUUUAGUUUUUAAUUUUCAUUGCCAAUCGAUUUUUGUUUCCCCAACAGUUUUUCAUUAUAAAUAGUGAUUUUUUUUUUCAUUUUUAUUUACAGCUUUUUUUUCCAUCACCAAAGGAAGAGCACAUUUUCAAGUUUAUUUUUUACUUUUCUAAGCAGCAAAAAAGUUUUUCUUGAUAACCCUGUUACUCCAUUCUUUGAAGCACAGUACUUUUCUGACCUUUUACUCUUUAAAAACA